rnacentral:rRNA from 1 species
UACGUAGGGUGCGAGCGUUAAUCGGAAUUACUGGGCGUAAAGCGUGCGCAGGCGGUUCGUUGUGUCGGCGGUGAAAGCCCCGGGCUUAACCUGGGAAUGGCCGUCGAAACUGGCGAACUGGAGUGUGGCAGAGGGGGGUGGAAUUCCGCGUGUAGCAGUGAAAUGCGUAGAGAUGCGGAGGAACACCGAUGGCGAAGGCAGCCCCCUGGGCUGACACUGAGGCACGAAAGCGUGGGGAUCAAACAGG